CGGGUGAGUAACGCGUAUGCAACCUGCCGUCUACUCUUGGACAGCCUUCUGAAAGGAAGAUUAAUACAAGAUGGCAUCAUGAGUCCGCAUGUUCACAUGAUUAAAGGAUUCCGGUAAAGGAUGGGGAUGCGUUCCAUUAGGUUGUUGGUGAGGUAACGGCUCACCAAGCCUUCGAUGGAUAGGGGUUCUGAGAGGAAGGUCCCCCACAUUGGAACUGAGACACGGUCCAA
rnacentral:rRNA from 1 species